GAUUUAGGAAACUAGCUGAUGCUUGUGGUGGCUCUUUUUGGUGGGAAGGCCCUCUGUGGAAAGGGGUGAAAGAGGUACUCCUACAUUCCCAGGAGAAAGCUCAGUCUAGGCUACCUCACGCCUGUUUUUGCAUGAAGACAGAAGGUUCUGCAUGUAUGUGUUCACCCAAGUCUCUAAGGACGUACAAGACUGACAACUUUAAUAGCAAAAAUCUGGAUCUGAGAGUCUUCCUUCACUGACCUAGGAAACCUUUGCCAAGUCAUGAUGGCUGCCUGAUGCACAGCCUGAGUGUUAGCUGAAGAAAGAGAAACACGUGGGAUUCAAGAGCUGAAAAAGACAUUUUAAAAGGAAAUACAAGAUGAAGUGGAAGAGGGUCAGAGGUAAAGAGCAAAGACUGGAGUAGCUAAAACUAAUGGUAUGGACAUUGCUGGAGAUGAGACUGUUCCUGCUUCAUGGACCAUAGGGAUCUCCAGCCUUGGUUUUGUCACUGGCAACACUAUGCUGCUGUGAUAUUACUAGUGUGAGAGUGGAUCUUCUCAAAGUGCCCAUCAUGUGGCAAUGCUCUGGGCAAUGGGCAGCUCUCUUCCUCUGAACAGAGUAUCAGCUACACCUGGGUGUAAGAGAGGUGAAGGAUGCACCAGGGAGCAGUGGGCUGCAAGGAGAGGUUCUGCUACCAACUGGGAAUGCCACAGAGCUCAUCUGCAGAUGUGAGCUCCUAUUUAAUGUGAUUUCCAGCAAAUCUUUAAUCGAGCUCAUGACCAGCCUUCUUAUGUCACUUUUAUCUGGAUCUCUCUCGUCUCACCCCAUAAAAAGUGGCUUUUAUGAAGAUGUGGAGUAGCCUACUGCACAAAUGACACAUCACCUCCUGAAAUCUAAUAGAGCUGUCAUCCUUGUGCUGCUGCUGUAUCUGUUAAAGCCAUCAGCUGAACAUCUGUCCCUCUGUAUUUUAUACAUUACAAACCACUUUGCCAACUGCCUCCACCCAGCUAGGUUGCCGGAAACACUGCAUUUUAAAUGCUUUUAGAGUGGGAGGAAAGAGGGAGUGUUUUUUUCAUUUUUCAGUCAGCUGCAUCUGAUAAAAGAACACUUUGUAGUGCUGGGUAACCCCAAACAUUUAAAAGCUGGUUUGCAAGCCAUGCUGCAGUAUUAUAAAAAGGACUGGAGCUCUUCAAAACUCAUUCGAUUGGAAUCACACUGGACCCAAAUUUGGCAAGAAAACUACCUAAUUUCAGUGCUGAAAUCUGUAACAAACUGGAAGUAAUUCUCCAUUAGCAUGGGGUUCAUAUAAAUCAAGGCUUCUGCUUCCAAAACUGAAUUACCCACAACAGCACAAGCUAUUGUUGCUUUUAGGAGCAGACAUCCAAACCCAAGCAUGUCCACUUCCAGGUGCUCAAUGCUGUAAUGAGGGCCAAGAUUCUUUGAGAUAUUUGAAUAAGUUAAACAGAAUGUUGAGCUUUCCUGGGAAAACUGGUCUCGUUUUGGAAGGGAUUUUAACCCUUUUGAAAAAAAAACUGGUUUUUCUGACUAUGAAUAUUUUUAGAAAAAUUCUAGAUUUCCAUAGAAAUACUCUAGUUUUCUGGCAGGGUCUUUGUAUUUGGCUUGAUGAUGCCCACAGGAAAGAGCUGCAAAGAGCUCAUGAGCCUGGACCAGCAGCAGAAGGCUGGAGAAAGCAGUGAUGGAACAGAGGGAGAAGGAGCAGACUGCAGGGCAUGGCUAGAGGAGCUUCCUUGGCAAGUCCCUCUUCCCACACACAGUUGGGUAAUACAGUUUCAUCACAGUUUCAUUCUCAAACAGAAUUUGAUCUCCUUGUAGAGUGAGGAGCUGAGCAGAUUGCUAUUAAAAUCAACCAGAUUUCGUAGAAUUAACUGUAGGGUGGCAAACGUGAAAUAGCCAGCUGCUAUUUCUUUUUUUACCCUUGUUUUAAUUCUUUUUUGCCUAAACAGCAGCAGGUGUUCUGGGCUGCCCUGUCAGCAUUUCCAUAUGGGUCAGAAACUAAAUCAGCUACCAAAUAUGGAUGCAGAGUAAUUAAUUACUCCUUCAGUACUUCUCUCUCUUUGCUGAUAUUGCAUUUAUUUUCAUUUUAGGCUGGGUGGCAGUUCCCAAGGCAGUGUCUAAUUUUGUUUGCAACUUGGUGUAGUGAAAAGAACAUAAUUUGCUAUUCUAAUUCUAAAUGUUGCUAUUGUGUUAUGGCGGUUUUUUUUUUUCACCUGACAUCCUUUUGCUUAGACAAUGCUGGAGAGUCAAACCAUAUAUAAAGAUGCUGUAGGUUUAAUGCACUGUGAUUGGGAUUGAUAUGGAAUAUGGUGUAUUUGAGAGUUCAUCUUGAGGGAAAAGUCACAGUACAGCAAAUUUAUUUGCCAUGAUGCUUCUUAAUACCUUGAGACGCUCACCCUGUUGCACCUGCCAAGAAAGGCUGUCUCCUGGAACAGCUCAGGCAGUUUAUCUCAAUAGAUACUUGGAUACAGCAUAAAGGACACUUGCUGGCUGUGUACCUGCAUUUAAAAUGGGGCAAGGCUAAACUGUGUGUGUCUGCAGCCUGAGUAUGUGCUACUGAUAAACUCAUAAUCAAAGAAGCGAAACCCUUUUGAAGAUCAAAAGAACUGUUGUUAUGUGUAUCUGAUUACAAGCAAUGGUCUACAGUGUCUUGUAGCAGCAAAUACAAUCAGUGACACAAACAGGAGUGGUGGGGAUGGAUUGCUGGAGACAUGGGGCUUUAGGGUUCUCUUCUCUGGUUUUGGGCGCUCUGACCCAGUGUUAGGAGAAAAAUACACAUCGCUGCUGCCACAUACUUCCAGUUUCUCCUACAAGCUGAGUUUUCAGUCCACUGAAGAGACCUGGGAGGAGCAGUGAAACUGUCAGAUGUAUUCUGUCAUGGAAAGAUAUCCUGACUUUUAGAGACAAAGGAAAGCUGUGCUUUCUCCCCCGCUUCUCCUUUUUCAUAUCAGACAUGUCCAAGAAUGAGGAGGAAAAAAAUCACACUUAACUAUUACAUGUCUCAUCCUUAUAUUUUUCAAUGUCAUGAAUUCAUGUUGCAUGGAUUAGGCUUUGUUCUAGUCCUAACAUACUUUCUAGUGUAAUAAUAUUAAAAACUGAAAGCCCUCAGUGCUCUUUUCUCUUCCUUGGACAGUCUCUCAGCAUUCCCCUCCUGGACCAUAACCCUGUCUAUCUCCUGAGGUUUGAGGGAUGGGGGGAAUUUUUGUAGACUCAGGGCACACAGCUCAAGGAGCCAUGUGCCAAGAUCAGUGCUGAUGGGGUGUGGAGGAGUUUGAUUAAUAUGCUGAAACUUAAGCUGUGUCUGCCAGAGGCUGGUACUAAAGUACCAAAAAAAAAAAAAAUUCUAACAAGAUAGAUGUUUGAGAAAUGCUGUAGAUGCCUCACGUUGUCAGGGGCACAGGGAGGAGAAACUUUGCCUUCUUGUACUUCUGCACAGGCCAGAUAUUAUUUUGUCGGUAGAUAUCGAGAAGCACAUGAGAAAGGAUAAAUUGAAUAUCUGGAGACAGGGAUUUCCACCAGAGCCACCUCAGAGGCAGCCCCAGAGCAGGUUUUUCAGUCUGUAACUAAUCCUUCCCUCCCAUCCUCCAUUCUAGGCAAAAUCAUCUGUGCCUGGCAGCACUUGCAGGAGUUGUGGUGUAAAGGGGCCUGUACAGUGAUUCCAGUCUCAUCUAGGGAAUAAAGUGAUCAUGCUUUCUUCCUCUCACCUCCUCCCCCUUCCAUAUAUCCCAGCAAUGGAUUUCCCAGAGCACUUCUGUCCCAUAAAUAAGGCAUGGUGUCACUCCUGUUUGCCUGCCAGAGAAACUGGCUAACACCUGAAAAUCUGAAGAGGAAGGAAAGGAAUAUUUCAUUAUAAGUGAUUUCUAAAUGAAUAAUUUUAGAACAAGCGAGUCAAAAGUGUAUCUUGAGGAGGAGGGAGUUUCAGUAAGGCGCUGGAUGUGGGAAAUUCCAGCUGUUGUUUAUAAGAAAUGCUGCAUAGAUUCAUAGCACAGUCCAGGUUGAAAGGAAUCUUGAAAGAUCAUCUGGUCCAACCUUGUCAUGAAGAAAAAAAUGUGAUUAAGAAAAUGUCCUGGUCUUGCUGUUUCCAGGCAUGUUGGAUUGUGCCUUCCUUUUCCAAGGUCAGAUGGUAACUCUGAUAAAGCAAAGUGGGAAAUGGGGCUGGUAGGCCACUUCUAUGAAUUUUCACAUGCUCUAUGUAACCAAAAACUGAAGCAUAAUCUGUUGGCACAAGAUUGUCUGUGUAUCUUUAGUUCAGUCAAAGAAAUUUUUUUGAAUACUUGACAUUUUAGUCUCAACCAUGGUUUACCUCUGAAGUAAUUUGAAAGGUUUAUUUUGAUUAGAAUCUGAAUAGUCAUUUUUGAUUAGCAGUCUGCAUAGAUCAGAAAUGAUAUUGCAAAUCUGAAGCCCUGUUGAUUGCCAAAGGUAACACAUUCUCUGUGCUUAUUCAGGUUUUCAGUGCUGAACUUUUUUGAAGUUGAGCUGAACCAUAGAAUAUUUGUUUGCUUUGCAACUGUUGUCCAGCCAUCUGCUUUAGGUUUUGCUUGAUUUCAAGAAGGGUUGGAUUGUUUUGGCUUUUUGUUUUGUAUUAAAGAUGUUGGAUGCAUUAAUCCUCUGAAAAAUCAAAACGCCCUCAAGAUUAAUUACAGAUAUGGGUCAGCUAUUGCAUUCUACCCAUAUGAAACAGGUGUUUGGGUUGGCAAGUCAUCCAGGGGCAAAGGAAAGACUUCAUAGAGUUGUUUUUUUUUUUUUUUCCCUUUGAGUUUAUGGUGAAACUGAGCUUUACACAUUCUCCAGGAGUCAUUUACUUCAAAUGUCAUGUUCUGCAAACAAUUCUUACUGGAACAGUUUCACAGAAUCACAGAAAUCUGAGGUUGGAAAGAAAAUGCACAGGUCACCUAGACCAACCCCUACAUAAAGCAAGACCAUCUGCCUUUGUCUUUAUCAUAGGCACCCAUGAAGUAGCUGGAGAAAGCAAUUAGAUGCACCUAUCCUCAGCUUGUUCCUUGGCUGAAAAAAUGCCAUUCUUGGUCUGUCCUGUGCUCCAGUCCUUGCCUGACUUGCAGCAUUUUCAUGUCUUUAUUGACUGAAGUACUUCCUGUGGGAAUACAGGGCAAUCUCUUCCCCUUACCUGGUGUCUCCACACAGCCUGAAAGGUUGGGUUGGGUUAGAAAAGAGUGCAGGCAAGGUCUGGGGAGAUAGAUUGGGAAGGCAGUAAAUUCACAGCUGAGACAGGGACCUGUGGCUGGCAGCUUUCAGUGGGAGGUGGUGAGCUCACGGUGUUUUCCUGGAGGGAAUUCUCCAGUAGCAUAUUUUGGUGUUGGAACCCAGGUUUGUUUUCCUUAGACUUAUUUAGCAAACGAAUAGUGCUUCCAGCAGCCAACAGCACUUCAAAGUUGAUCCAGCAGAGAGCCCUCUCAUCAGGUAGAAGGGAUUCAGACUGCAGAGGUUAAACUCAAAUGCUUGAGUCCCAAUUCAGCACCCCACUCGUAAGAGCUUGCUUGCCAUAUGCUGACAGAUGACUGUCUUUUCCUCAACAACUAAACUCUUGUUUAGCUUUAUUUCAAAUGUUUACUUUUCUGCUGGGAUUUCAAUAAAAGCCCCUUGUCCUGCAGCAGCAGCAAGUCAUCCAGGACAAGAAUGGGGUCUGUAAAACUGUCCUGGUUUUGUGCUUGUAAAGCUCUUUGAGAGAGACUACACUACCCAUCCUGUGUUUUGCUUUUGGAAGGAAGUUAAACAUACAUUAUUUAAGUUAUUUGUGUUAUUGUUAGAUCAUGGGGACAAAGGGGCUGACUGGUAACAAGCAUAAAAUAGUUGAAAUUUAUGCCCCUAUGAUUCUUUUUCUAAAAAACUAAACAAAACAAACUCCCAAAACAGGAAAGGAAGAAGCGGGGGGAAGUGAGGAUCAGUUAUGUUUUGAGUUGCUUUGGUUUAUGCAUUGUAGUUUUUCUUUUUGAGCUCCUGUUAGCCUACUGCAUCUCAAGCUAGCUCUGGUCCCCAGAAAUAAGGCCACUUUUCCACUUUUUCUAACAGAAGAGUUGCCUUUGAAAAUUAAAUUCUGCAGCUAGACCGCUGGUGUGUGGUCCACUGAGGAGAAGUGCUUCCAGCACAGUACUGCGCACUUGCCGCUGUUUCCUGGUGGCUUUUCCCUCUGUUACUGCACAGCGAUCAACUCCCUGUCACAGAACAAAUGCUACAGCAGCUCUGGACAGGAGCAGAAAGUGUAUUUCAAAUUUCUCUUUGCCUUUUCUCUUUCCAGCUUUAAAUGGUGCCGAGUAGUGAGGAAAAUCAAAUCUUAAGGUAGAGCAGCAGCAGCUCUUGAGCCCGCAGUGCCUUUGGGUGCGCUCAGUGUUGGUUGUGCAGCUCCCACAGCAUCCAGCCCGAGUGCUGUGCUGGAUUCAGCCCUCCUCCCCAACUUCUGGAGAGGAGGGAGCCAAACCUGCCAGUCCUUCUCCCCUACUGGUGUUGACUAAAUCAUGUGAGAGGGAUUAAGGAGAGCAGUGAAGCAUUUUAACCCUGCUCUCUCCACAAGAGCACUGGGGAACCGGAGUGUUCUCUUGACAACUGGGCAUGUGCAUCAAAGGGCUCGGACAUGAGAGGGGGAGUGAGGUGGAGAUGGACAAAAAGCCCCUAAUCCAGUUAGUUCUUGAUGCUGCUGAUGGGGCCACAACAUGGGACUAAAGGAUGUUUGCUCCAGGAUUUCCUCCUCUGGACGCUGAGCACUAAGGAUCUUUUGGGUUUCAGGAAGGCAGCAGUGCCACAGCAGAUUUGUGUGGUGCUUCCACAGCCGUUCCCACUCCUCCCUGGAGCUUUCUGAAAUCACUCUGCCUUUUGAUAGUGGCCCAGCUCCCCAGUUCAGUGCCUCCUCUUUGUGCAGGCACCAUGGAGUCCAGGCUGGAGGGAGAUAAUACUUCCUGAAGUGCUCAUUUAUCCCAGCGGGAGAGAGGCGGCUCGCAGCAUCCACACGGGUUAUUAAGCUGCACUGAAAAGAAAGAGCAAACUGCAGAGUUGUAUUAGUUUAUGUAUUAUCAGCAUUUGUAAGGUACCUGUUGCCCUAGUAACGAAGAACAAUGUAUAUAGGUUCAACCAGGCAAAAUCACCCUCUGAUCAGGGAAAUAAAAAAUUCAUGGUCUUUCCUCUGGAGCCACUCCUCCAGUGCUUGGGGAGGAGGGCUUAGGAGACAGAAGAAACUGAGCUGGUUGUUAUGAUCAUACAAUCCCAGUUUCUGUUCAUUCACUGCUCCUGGGAACCCUGCAGAGCUGCUAACAAGCUGUGUGUAUAUUGAGAGCACGUAGGGAUAUGCUGGAGGCAGGAGGGACAGAGGGGUGGGCAGGUUCACAUAAUUCAAAGCCUGCACAGUGCCUGGCAGUGCAGUUGGCUUGGGAAUAUCCAGAGCUGCCCUUUCCGUGUCCCUCCUGCUCUCAUCUCCAAAGGACUGACUGGGGAACUUGCCAGUGGGGCUUCUCCUGACCCCAUCCACCUUGGGACUAGGCUGUCUUGGCAUGAGAGGCGUGACAUGGCAUGUCACUAGGAGUGUCUUGGCAUGAGACGCUCUGCUGUUUUUGUGACAAGUGUAUGUGCUGCCCUGUCCUCGCUUCUCAAGGCUUAGUGUUUAAUCAUUAAAUGGGAAUCACAGCAUUGCCAAACUUGAAAAGCUACCAUAGCUAUCAGAGUAGCAAUUACUCUUCUAAUGAGGGCUGAAUGAGUGAAUGACUAUGAUGUUGAUUGCUCUUUGUGUCACGGGAUGGUCUGAAGACCCUCACGCUGGGCACUGGGAGCUCACCCUGGCACUAUGUCCCAUUGUUGCUCCGUGUCUGGAGCAGGGACCCUGGCUGAGUAUAUGGUCCUCUGGACUUCCAGAUGCUUGACACUUGAUAUUUUCCUCACAGAAAAAUAGAUUCUCUGUAUAAACAGUAUAACAAGAUAAACAUUGUGCUCAAUAUGACAACCAAGAAAAAUACUGCAAGAAUACCUUAAAGGCUGAGAUGAGUUCAGAAGACAAUGCUGACUUUGUGUCAACAUCAUGGGGAGAGUCAUUGCUCAGGUCCUGGCAGUUGUAGGAGAUAAAACAGCAUUUUCUGUUGCAUAUGGGUCAGCUAGUGUGGGCUUGUUCCUAGCAUUGAUUCUGUAUGCUGGCUAAUGACAAUACUGUUACUGUUCUUACACCUGUUUGCAAAGGGAAAUGAAUUGAUGACAGAAUUUUAGUGCCUCUCCACGAGGCAAAUGGGUCAGGUUUCUUUAUUUUUGCCAUUUAGUGCAGUACAUGUAGUCUUUCAAAUCCAAGCUGCAACCCAAGAUAUAGGCAAUUCAGCCCCUUGUUUUAUCAUCGUCUAAAAGACAAUUAAGUCAUUAAAAUCUCCACCAGAGUGAAAUGAGAGGUGAGAUUCUGAUAGCUGUAAACUAGGCAGCCAGCUAAGGGGAAUCCAAUUGUUUGUGGCACUGCAGGGUUUUACUGCAGGAUCACAUCACAACUGGUAGCCAGCAGCACAAAACUUACUUCACUUUGGCUUGAUGCUUGUCACAGUUUCUACACAAACAGAAAAAAUCAUCUGUUACUGUUCUGUGUUCCUAUCAAUCCCUUUGUUGCAUCAGAAGAGAUUUGUCUUCAUUCUCUAUCAGCCACCGCAGUGAUUGCCUCACUGUGACUUUGACUAUAAUUUUAAUUGUCUAUAGAUCCUGCACUGAUCUUUCUGACACUGAGAGAUUUAAGAGUAUAGCUCCAGAAUCGAUGUUAACAGGUCUUUACUUGGGACCCUUAUUUAAUAAACUCUCAUAGCCUCUAGGGGUGAUUUACAAAACUGACCUUCACUGACUGUCUGUAAAACCAGAAAAUCGGUAAAUGCUUUUCUUCAGAAAGUAAUGGAUGCUUCCUUAUUGGGAAUCACCAUGGCACCUGAGCCAUGGCUACAGCUUUACCUGCCCCAAAGUGUUACUGCUGUAACUUUUGAGUAGAUGAUUUAUUGCCCUGCAGAAUAAACCCAAACUUCUUGUUUAAUGCACAUUAAGAUGUUGUAGCAGGGGUAAAAGUAGCUGAUUACUUGCAGUGCAAAGCCUCUUCCCAUGUCUAGCAGAACUGCCAGUGUAGUUUUAAAUGGUCCAAGUUAUAGGAGGCUGAGCUAAAUGUUGUAAAAGAUACAGUAUGGAACAGCCAGGCUUUGAUGAAGACAUGGCUGGAUAACCUAACAGGCAUUCCUUGGCUUAACAACCCCGCAGCAAAGUGCAAUGAGUUGUGUGACUUUGAGUUCAAUAGGAAGGUUUCUGCUUUAAAAAGUAAAGUGGGACAAAAGGAAUUGCGUUGGGAUUCUGUUCUGGCAGACAACGUGCGACUGGGAGCGUGCCCCCCGUGCAAAUGCCAUGGAGACAAUGUGUCUGCUCCUGCCCAUCACAUCGCCCUCCAUGCCAGUGCCUGACUGUAAUCCAUGCCCAAAACCCAGGCUGCUGGCUGCAGUGGUAUUUGCAAAGGUGAAAUGGUGCAACUGUUACUGAAGCCUGCUUGCUCCUGAUUGGAAAAGUCGAUAAACGUUUUACAGAUGAUGGGUUUGGGCAGCGGUUCUAAAGUGAUUCUGCUCUGCCUCCUUUUGCUUUGACUGCUGGAGAUGCUGUGUGUAUUUCAUAGUAAAUUGGUAUUAAAGGUUUAUUAAGCGAUACAAGUCUGUUAAGAGGUGCUAUCCACAAAUCAGUAUAAAAUAUUCCAGGCUAUUGUAAGGCCCUAUUACAAGAAAAUGGAAGGAUUUUGCAUCAGUUGAUUAACCAGUUAGGAAACUGUGCCUCUCAUUAAACUUUCAUAUGACAUAUUAAAUGUACAGUUGUAAAUGAAAGGUGACUAGGCCAUUUAUUGCAAAACAAAUGGAUUGAUAUGAUAAAAAGGGGGCUGUGCUUUUGUGUGUGGAUACUGUCAAGAGGAAUAGGAAGAGCACUUGCAAAAAUGAGAAUGCCACGAUGUGCUUUUACUUCAAAACAGAGUCCUGAAUCUGCCCUGUUAGAAAAAUCUAUCACUGAGACUUGAGUGAAGUAUUAUCUAACCAUCUGAGACACAGCCCUAUAAUUCAUGGGUCAUUGACACAGUAGAGAAGAUCAGUUCUGGCUAUUGUAGCAGCAGAGGGACUCUUAAUCCAUGGAUUAUUAACGUGGAAAAUUGAAGGGGCUGUUACAGGCUUGUGGUUUAUUAGACUAUUGUGGAUUUAGGGAGCUUUAAUUUGAAGAUUAUGGACACAAUGGAGUGCAACAGAUCCCUUGACAAUGUCAGUGGCAAGGCUUUUGUACAGGAGAAAGCUUCUGCCUGAAUUCUGUCCUUCCCCAUCCCACAGGAUACUGCUUAGGAAAAUACUUAUGGGGCUGCAAUCACCUUUGAAGCUCAUUUGAUCAAAGUAACUCAAAAACCUACUUCUCUAAAGAUAAUGUUCCCUCAGCUCUCCAGUCUGGAAAUUAUUUUGUUCUAGCAAGGCUUUUCUUGCCAGCAGUUGAUUUUCAUCCCCUAUUGCUGUUUUGUCUUGCAAAAAAUUGGUGCUACAUCAUGUUUGUAUAACAUCAUUAGGUCCAGGGGAUGCUUGGCAGGACAAAUGAGCUGAAUGUGUUACGUUUUGGAGGAGGACUAAGGAAUGAAACCUUACACCUUCACUGGCAACAGCUUUAUGAAGUACGCUCCUGCCUCUGAUCACCAUCUCAAAAGCCUGAGCUUAUCUCUGCUCCCAAUCCACCUGGAAGGAUUAAUAGAGAUGUGAGGAGCUUGUGGAUAUGGAGAGGUACAAUGAGGCUUGAACACUACCAUAGUUCCAAGGACAGCCAACCUGCUCUGAAAGCACACCAGGGAAAGUUUCUUCCCUGCCCAAGAAUGUUGCAUGUUUUCCUUUUACCCUUUUCUGUCCCAGAAGAAGGGAAGGAGAAUGGAAAUUUUUAUAGAAAACACUGUUGGAAGGGUUGGGGUUGAGGGAGACUCAGAACUGGCAUUGGGGUUGCCCUCUUGUCCAGGUAAUUUUCCAAAGCUGGAUACUUCCUACUUCUAUUAGAUUUCAUUUUAGGGCCAGACAAAACCUUAAAAGUUUUCCCAACAGGGGAAGGAAGAAAGCAGCUGCACAAAAUAAACUACAGUGUGUGUGAAUCAGGUAAUGGGAUGCAAAAAGGAUGCAGGGAGUUCUCUCAGGCCAAGACAGGUGAAAUGAAUGCUUCAGUUUCCUGCCCCACAUCAGUAAGAUAGAGUCACUGUCAGUACAGGACAGAGAAAGCAUGUGCAGGACUUCAGAAGGCAACUCAAGCAUUUCUAGGAACCGCCCUGAGUGCUGGGACACUCCCCACCCUUUGAUGCUCCAGUGUGUACCCAAAGGCUUGAUAUAUACAAAAAAAUCCCAGCAGUCAUGCAGAGAUUUGAUUAAAUUGUAAAAUUGGUUGAGUGAUUAUUUUAAUUGAAAAAUAUAUAUUUACUUGAAACAAAAUCUUCUUUCUCAGCUAUGCUUACGUUACACAGAUAGUUCGGUUUAUACUUGAAUAGAAAAUGUUUAAUAUUCAGCCUGGGAAUAGUUAUUUAGCACAAAUAACUAUUUCUUUAAUAUUAAUUCCACUUUGAGUAUUUACAUUUUCUUGCUUUCCCUCCCUUGCCCUCUUCCAUUCUUAUCCCCAUCAAAAUUUACUUAUAUUUCCCAGGGAAUAUAUGUGGUUUAGAGAAAUGCAAAACAAAUGAUGGAUUGAGUGUAUUUGCAAUGCCCUUUGAAAACUGUCCCAGUGUUCAAAUACUGCUCAGUUUUAUUCCUCUAAGUGUUUUGUAGCUUACUGCUGCAACAUGUCAUCUACACAGCCAGGAAGUUGUACAAGAUACACAAGAUUCAAGCCAACAGGAUAAAAUCCAAGUGAUCUUUUAGCUAGCUUUUGAAAUGAGUAGAAUUUUGUGACCCAGAACUCCAGAAAUUAAUAUUAUCUCAGCAGUCAAACACAGAUGGUCCACAUGAAGUUUUCUGUGUAACUUCUAAUUUGACAUGUGAAACAUUUUAUAAAAUUUUUAAAAAUACACUGUGACUUUGAGCCCGAUGCUAUUUAAUAAAGCACAUAGUGUUGCAAAGGAACAAAGACCUGUGAAGUGUUUGGUUCAGGAACAUUGCAGGUUUAAGCAACUUUUAGAAUUUGUGUAGCUAAAGAUGCCUGAUUUUUGACAAGCACUGUACAUGCAACUCCAUGAAACGGGUGAACAUCUUUUAAUGCUGAUGUGCUGGACACCUGCAAGGAGUUCUGAAAAGUUCAGUUGCUCAAAGAGUGGGAAAUUUUC
ensembl:lncRNA